ACAGGAUUAGAUACCCUGGUAGUCCACGCCGUAAACGAUGUCGACUUGGAGGUUGUGCCCUUGAGGCGUGGCUUCCGGAGCUAACGCGUUAAGUCGACCGCCUGGGGAGUACGGCCGCAAGGUUAAAACUCAAAUGAAUUGACGGGGGCCCGCACAAGCGGUGGAGCAUGUGGUUUAAUUCGAUGCAACGCGAAGAACCUUACCUGGUCUUGACAUCCACAGAACUUUCCAGAGAUGGAUUGGUGCCUUCGGGAACUGUGAGACAGGUGCUGCAUGGCUGUCGUCAGCUCGUGUUGUGAAAUGUCGGGUUAAGUCCCGCAACGAGCGCAACCCUUAUCCUUUGUUGCCAGCGGUCCGGCCGGGAACUCAAAGGAGACUGCCAGUGAUAAACUGGAGGAAGGUGGGGAUGACGUCAAGUCAUCAUGGCCCUUACGACCAGGGCUACACACGUGCUACAAUGGCGCAUACAAAGAGAAGCGACCUCGCGAGAGCAAGCGGACCUCAUAAAGUGCGUCGUAGUCCGGAUUGGAGUCUGCAACUCGACUCCAUGAAGUCGGAAUCGCUAGUAAUCGUGGAUCAGAAUGCCACGGUGAAUACGUUCCCGGGCCUUGUACACACCGCCCGUCACACCAUGGGAGUGGGUUGCAAAAGAGGUAGGUAGCUUAACCUUCGGGAGGGCGCUUACCACUUUGUGAUUCAUGACUGGGGUGAAGUCGUAACAAGGUAACC
rnacentral:rRNA from 1 species